GGGGGGGGUUCUUCUGCACGGACUGUUCUUCCUCGCCCUCUUCCCUCGAUGCGCACUGACUUGCAAGUGCUCCUUCAAGCCGUUUUCUUCAUCUUCAUUACUUUGACAUCUUUGGUUCACACUUUUUUGGCUACGUUCAGAUGCACCGACUCAUUUCUAUCGAGUGAGCAGCCUAUUCUCUCUUUGGCGCAGCAGUUUGCGGCAACUUCUCUUGCUUCUGCUAAGGAUAUAGACCGAGGUGGGAGGCCAGGACAGUGACGAAGACACCAAGGGAAAAGAAGACAGAGAGUUAGGGAGCUUUGGUGAAUGGAGAACUUCCCCCAGAUCGCUCCUAUUCUCCAGCUUAUUGCAUCCUGUCGUUUGCAGUUUCAGAUGAUGUCCAGUACGCCGCAGCUGCUGCAGCCAAUAAACAAAGUGACUAACAAUGGAAGAGAGGCAUGGCUGAAGAGGAGGAGACAGGAAAACCACCAUAGCACACACAAAACUAAAGGAGAGAGGUAUUACAAGUUACUUUUGUUAUGCAGCAGCAGGAGUACAAAGAAAUACAUUUAAUUGCGUAACCACUGUUUCAGUCGUUUUAGUUGAUAAUGGUUACUUGAUGGACAGAUUCAUGAAUUUCCAAAUUGCUCAAAGAAUGCCGGCCAGUUUUAUAUUUCAGCUUGUGGGAGAAAAACAUGGUAACUAACCAAUGAAAUCAGACACUAAGAUAUAUAUAUAUUUUUAUAAUAAGGCUUGCAAUCUGGUUUGCUUUGAGUUUGUGAUUAAUUAAUCACAUUCUCUGUGCCACCAUAUAUUUUACAAUGGAAUAAAUUUAAUCGCUUUUUCAAGAUUGAUGGUAAAAGUACAAUUUCAACAUUUUGGGAUGUGCUUGUUGAGGACGAGUCCCCCUAUUGUAUGUGUUACCCUCAGCCAAAUUAAUUAUUAGCUUUACCCCCAGGAAACUCAAUCAAAAAUGUAAUGAAAUGGUACAAUGGUUUUGUCUCAUUGCUUUUUGAUAAUGUGUGUAAAGACAAAUUGUUGUUCCAUGUAUUCCGUAACAGUUUUUUGUCGUUCUUUUUUUGUGCAACAGAAUUUCAGGUCAUCGUUGUAACUUGUGUUUUGGUAUGUAGAAGAGGGAAGACAGAUGAGGGACACUUUGAAAAAAUAUCUCUUCCACCCACAAAUUGAAAAGUAAUAGCCAAGAUGAUAAAAAAACAACCUAAUUUCGUGAGAGCAACUAUUUCAGGGUGAUGCUCUUCUUCAAUGGCUAGCUCCCUUUUGUUUUAUAUGGAUUUUUCUCCGUUAUACGUCAGAAAUGAAGCAAACAUACAGGUACUCAAAAUCACCUAACCCAAGGUAUUUCUUUUUUAUUCCCACUCUCACUCUCUCUCUUUGAAAUAAAAUUGAAGACAAAAAAAUUAAGUAAUUACAUGCCCAAUUUAAACUGUAUCAAUGUGGAUAAUUGUCAUUUGCCAUGAAGAAAUUAAAUGAAAACUGGUAAACAAGUAAAUUUUCUUUAAUUGGUUUCCUUUAAGCGGAGAGAAGUGUUAGAUCAAUGUAUCCUUCCUGUUGCUAAUGAAAGAUAAAGCAAAAGUGUAACAUGUUUUUAAUUAUUAUUUUAACAGGUUUUACAAAUCACAUACAACAGUUAUUGUCAAUGUUCUUUAUUCAUAGUUGAUUGAUAUCCUUGAGAUGCUGCGUAACCAGAAUGGUUUGUAAUGUUGCCAACAAGUACUUGGUCUUUUGCCACUUAGGGCAUGAAUGAUUUACUUUAUGUAUACUUUGUUUACUUUAUGAAUAA